rnacentral:rRNA from 1 species
GUCUACGGCCAUACCACCCUGAACGCGCCCAAUCUCGUCUGAUCUCGGAAGCUAAACAGGGUCGGGCCUGAUUAGUACUUGGAUGGGAGACCACCUGGGAAUACCGGGUGCUGUAGGCC